rnacentral:rRNA from 1 species
UGAGUAACCUGCCCUUAACUCUGGGAUAAGCCUGGGAAACUGGGUCUAAUACCGGAUAUGACUCCUCAUCGCAUGGUGGGGGGUGGAAAGCUUUUUUGUGGUUUUGGAUGGACUCGCGGCCUAUCAGCUUGUUGGUGAGGUAAUGGCUCACCGAGGCGACGACGGGUAGCCGGCCUGAGAGGGUGACCGGCCACACUGGGACUGAGACACGGCCCAGACUCCUACGGGAGGCAG